rnacentral:rRNA from 1 species
CCUACGGGUGGCAGCAGUGGGGAAUAUUGCACAAUGGGGGAAACCCUGAUGCAGCAACGCCGCGUGAGUGAAGAAGGUUUUCUGAUUGUUAAGCCCCGUUAGCAGGGAAGAGGAAGGACGGUAUCUGCAGAGGAAGCCACGGCUCACUACGGGCCAGCAGCCGCGGUAAUACGGAGGAUGCGAGCGUUAUCCGGAUUUAUGGGGUUUAAAGGGUGCGUAGGCGGACUAUCAAGUCAGCGGUAAAAAUUCGGGGCUCAACCCCGUCGUGCCGUUGAAACUGAUGUUCUUGAGUGGGCGAGAAGUAUGCGGAAUGCGUGGUGUAGCGGUGAAAUGCAUAGAUAUCACGCAGAACUCCGAUUGCGAAGGCAGCAUACCGGCGCCCAACUGACGCUGAAGCACGAAAGCGUGGGUAUCGAACAGGAUUAGAUACCCUUGUAGUC